rnacentral:rRNA from 1 species
UACGGAGGGUGCGAGCGUUGUUCGGAAUCACUGGGCGUAAAGGGCGCGUAGGCGGUCUUAUAAGUCAGAUGUGAAAGCCCACGGCUUAACCGUGGAAGAGCAUUUGAAACUGCAAGACUUGAGUACCAGAGGGGAAGGUGGAAUUCCCGGUGUAGAGGUGAAAUUCGUAGAUAUCGGGAGGAAUACCGGUGGCGAAGGCGACCUUCUGGCUGGAUACUGACGCUGAGGCGCGAAAGCGUGGGGAGCAAACAGG